CGGGACGGGUGAGUAAUGUCUGGGAAACUGCCUGAUGGAGGGGGAUAACUACUGGAAACGGUAGCUAAUACCGCAUAACGUCGCAAGACCAAAGAGGGGGACCUUCGGGCCUCUUGCCAUCGGAUGUGCCCAGAUGGGAUUAGCUAGUAGGCGGGGUAAAGGCUCACCUAGGCGACGAUCCCUAGCUGGUCUGAGAGGAUGACCAGCCACACUGGAACUGAGACACGGUCCAG
rnacentral:rRNA from 1 species